rnacentral:rRNA from 1 species
AUUGAACGCUGGCGGCAGGCCUAACACAUGCAAGUCGAACGGUAACAGGAAGAAGCUUGCUUCUUUGCUGACGAGUGGCGGACGGGUGAGUAAUGUCUGGGAAACUGCCUGAUGGAGGGGGAUAACUACUGGAAACGGUAGCUAAUACCGCAUAACGUCGCAAGACCAAAGAGGGGGACCUUCGGGCCUCUUGCCAUCGGAUGUGCCCAGAUGGGAUUAGCUAGUAGGUGGGGUAACGGCUCACCUAGGCGACGAUCCCUAGCUGGUCUGAGAGGAUGACCAGCCACACUGGAACUGAGACACGGUCCAGACUCCUACGGGAGGCAGCAGUGGGGAAUAUUGCACAAUGGGCGCAAGCCUGAUGCAGCCAUGCCGCGUGUAUGAAGAAGGCCUUCGGGUUGUAAAGUACUUUCAGCGGGGAGGAAGGGAGUAACGUUAAUACCUUUGCUCAUUGACGUUACCCGCAGAAGAAGCACCGGCUAACUCCGUG